UGUUUCUGGUUUAAAAAAUAACCACAAAAUAUUUGUACAACUAAUGGAAAUUUAAAACAUUACAUGACUAAUAUUCCACUUAUUACUAGUCCUAUUCUACUCCCCUUCUCCCACAUUAUAAGUUGUAAAUUUUUCUUUCUCCUGUCUGUGUUUGCACAUGGAAUUCCACCCUCUUGACUUGAAACUGUAGGCUCUUCUAACUUCAGCAAAAUAAGGAAAAAGUGUUCUUUCUUUCUGAGUGCAUUAAAUCAGCUACAACACUGCAUCAAAUAGUUAUCUUUGUAAAUGCUGUUUCUAA
rnacentral:lncRNA from 1 species